rnacentral:rRNA from 1 species
GCAUAUCAAUAAGCGGAGGAAAAGAAACCAACAGGGAUUGCCCUAGUAACGGCGAGUGAAGCGGCAACAGCUCAAAUUUGAAAUCUGGUCCUUUCAGGGCCCGAGUUGUAAUUUGCAGAGGAUGCUUCGGGUACGGGUGCCUACUGAGUUCCCUGGAACGGGACGCCAUAGAGGGUGAGAGCCCCGUCUAGUAGGAUACCCAGCCCAUGUGAAGCUCCCUCGACGAGUCGAGUAGUUUGGGAAUGCUGCUCUAAUGGGAGGUAUACUCCUUCCAAGGCUAAAUACCGGCUGGAGACCGAUAGCGCACAAGUAGAGUGAUCGAAAGAUGAAAAGCACUUUGAAAAGAGAGUCAAAUAGCACGUGAAAUUGUUGAAAGGGAAGCGCUCGCUACCAGACUUGAGUUAGGCGGUUCAACCGGGGCCACGCCCCGGGGCACUCCACCUGCUCAGGCCAGCAUCAGCUUUCCGUCGGGGGCAAAGGCGUCGGGAAUGUGGCUCUCCUCCGGGAGAGUGUUAUAGCCCGGCGUGUCAUACCCUUCGGGGGGCUGAGGUACGCGCUUCUGCAAGGAUGCUGGCGUAAUGGUAGCUAGUGACCCGUCUUGAAACACGGACCAAGGAGUCAACCUUAUGUGCGAGUGCCCGGGCGUAAAACCCCAGCGCGGAAUGAAAGUGAACGUAGGUGAGAGCUUCGGCGCAUCACCGACCGAUCCUGAUGUCCUCGGACGGAUUUGAGUGAGAGCAUAUAGGGUUGGACCCGAAAGAAGAUGAACUAUGCGUGUGUAGGGUGAAGCCAGAGGAAACUCUGGUGGAGGCUCGCAGCGGUUCUGACGUGCAAAUCGAUCGUCAAACAUGCCGCAUGGGGGCGAAAGACUAAUUCGAAUCUUCUGGUAGCUGGUUUCCGCCG